rnacentral:rRNA from 1 species
UACGGGGGGGGGCAAGCGUUGUUCGGAAUUACUGGGCGUAAAGGGCUCGUAGUCGGCCAACUAAGUCAGACGUGAAAUCCCUCGGCUUAACCGGGGAACUGCAUCUGAUACUGGAUGGCUUGAGUUCGGGAGAGGGAUGCGGAAUUCCAGGUGUAGCGGUGAAAUGCGUAGAUAUCUGGAGGAACACCGGUGGCGAAGGCGGCAUCCUGGACCGACACUGACGCUGAGGAGCGAAAGCCAGGGGAGCAAACGGG